rnacentral:rRNA from 1 species
AUGAUUCGUGGGACGUCCUGCCGGUGGUGGCGAGUCGAAGGCGUGCUCCCGUUGUGGUUUCCACUUCGGUUCUUGUGCGCCCGAGGCGGACCCCGAUGAAAUCCUACCGCGGUGCUCUUCACCGAGUGUCGAGGUGGGCCGGCAGGUUUACUUUGAACAAAUUAGAGUGCUUAAAGCAGGCCUGUUGCGCCUGAAUACUGUGUGCAUGGAAUAAUGGAAUAGGACCUCGGUUCUAUUUUGUUGGUUUUCGGAACCCGAGGUAAUGAUUAAUAGGGACAGGCGGGGGCAUUCGUAUUGCGACGUUAGAGGUGAAAUUCUUGGAUCGUCGCAAGACGGACCGAAGCGAAGCAUUUGCCAAGUAUGUUUUCAUUAAUCAAGAAGAAAGUUAUAGGUUCGAAGGCAAUCAGUACCGCCCUAGUUCUAACCAUAAACGAUGCCAGCUAGCGAUCCGCCGAAGUUCCUCCGAUGACUCGGCGGCAGCUCCCGGGAAACAAGCUUUUGGUUCCGGGGAGUAUGGUUGCAAGCUGAACUUAAGGAAUUGACGAAGGC